CAUGCCUUAUACACCAUCAAAUUAAUACCCUGCAUACUAACACAAUUUCCAUACUCAAUUUACAUACGUUGGCAUACGUUCCCUGUACCUCAUUUCCCUUAUCCUAGAUACCCAUUAAUAAAGACUUGACAUCAACCACUACCUAACAAAACAAUUAGAGGUUAAAUACAACACAUUCUUACGCUAACAGACUCAAAGCAUGACCCAGUUAAUGGUCUACUAACCAGUUUCGAACUCUCAGCAAUGCAAGAUUAUCCAAUUUGUACAAACUCAAUAAAACUAACUCCUGAUUUCCCAAAUAUACAUAACCAUACUCAAGCAAAAAUAAUCGCACAAAGCCAAGAUUUAAUGCUAAUAACAGAAUAUGUUGACCAAAUCCUAAGAGGACAACAUUUACCAAUUAACAUGAUCUAAACUCCAAUUACAACUCACUCUUAAAUAAAUACAUCCACCAUAAUCUUUCUCAAACCAAGUAUUACAAGUUAAUUACUAAAUGAAAGAAGAGAAGAUGAUUCAGAUUCACAGCAUCAAAAUUUAUCUUAUUUUUUUCAAAUCCAUACUUCGAGCUACAUCAAAGGGCAUCCAUAUGAUCGAAGAAUACCUGGAAAUGAGCAAAGCAAAUAAACGAUGUGAAGAAUUUGCAGUCAAGCAACAGCAGUACAACAGAAUCAACACCAGCAGAAUCAACUCAAACCAAAAUGAGUAUGAAAGUAGUAAACACAGUCCCCCUCUAACAGUAACUACAUCAACUUCACAAACUAAACCUUAAACAGCGACUUCAAUCCAUUUUAACGCUAGAAAAAUUAGAAAACCUUUUCAGAAAUUGAAAACUUGCGAAAUCACAGGAUAAUUUUCAAUGAAACAGUAACUUCAUUCCAAUUUUUCAGCCGUUUUUAAAUUUUGGAUUUUUUCUUUCCUUUUUCUCUUGGUUCCCCCUUUAAAGGCAAGUUUAGGAUGCCUUUAUAUGCAAGGGACAAGGGCAGACCUUAGGAUUUUAACUUUGCCCUCUGCCUCCCUCUUUAAUUCUCAUUUUUAGCUACUUGACCCCUCAUUUACUGACUUGUUCCCCAAGCUAACCUACUAUACUUCUGAAAUUUAAUAAAAACCCCUCACUAGAAGCUUCAUAUUUCUGUUAUGAAAGAUUCUCUGAUCUAAACUACCCAAACUACCCUUUAAAGACCCUGAAAUUACCUUUAACCAAGACCGGUCAUGGGUUGAUUCGACCCAAUUGAAUUAAUUCAAGCUCAGCCCAAACCAGUAAAUCAGAAGAUUGAUUAAAGGCAUAAACCUAAGCCCAGACCAAAUCGAAUUGAUUGAAACAAAUGCUCAUAACAAAAACGAGUCUGAACAACUUCAAAAACAGAAAUCAAGUACGGGGCUAGAAUUAAAGAAAUUACUAGAUAAAACUAACCUAAUUAAUCAAGCUAAGUGACCUAAUAUGUUUAAAAUAACAUGCAUAAUAAACAGCCCAUAAACGAACACAAAAGACCUAAUGGGACAACAAAUAAUAGAAGAAAUGAAGGAGUAGAAAAGAAAGAGAACUGAGAAGAAGAAAAGAGAUAAACCUAAGAGGACCCGGACAAAAGGGCAUAAGGAACAACCUUCAACUCAUCGAUUCCGACCCGAUCCGAAGUUAAUCGUAUGUUUUUUUUAAUAUCAAAAACACACGAGUAACAUCGAUUUAGGCCUAAAAUCUUCUAACCCUCGCCGAUUCGGACCUUUGGACUUUUAGGGUUGUCCCUUAAAAUCCAGAUUCGAGGAGUUUCACUAAUAUUCGAGGGAAACGGAGUGGAUUUCUGGAAUGAGGGUGAGACGGGGGUUCAGGGGUGUUAUUUUGGGGCCAAUUGGAUGAGUUAGGGUUUUAGUCGUUCUCUUUGAUUCAAUAUUUGAGAGGUUGGGUUGGUAUUCGAGGGAGGGGGUUUGGAGAUUUGGAAAGAGGAGAAGAAGAGGAGUCUAUGGUGUAAAAAUGGGGUCGAUUGGAGCAACGCCGCCGGCGGAGGCGAUUUCCGGUAGGCGGCUCACGGCAGAGGUGGUGAGGGGUUCUCUGAGUGUGUG
rnacentral:lncRNA from 1 species